UACGUAGGGUGCAAGCGUUAAUCGGAAUUACUGGGCGUAAAGCGUGCGCAGGCGGUUUUGUAAGUCUGUCGUGAAAGCCCCCGGGCUCAACCUGGGAAUUGCGAUGGAGACUGCAAGGCUUGAAUCUGGCAGAGGGGGGUAGAAUUCCACGUGUAGCAGUGAAAUGCAUAGAGAUGUGGAGGAACACCGAUGGCGAAGGCAGCCCCCUGGGUCAAGAUUGACGCUCAUGCACGAAAGCGUGGGGAGCAAACAGG
rnacentral:rRNA from 1 species